rnacentral:rRNA from 1 species
UAGUCCACGCCGUAAACGAUGAUCACUCGAUAUUGGCGGUAUUGACCCCUUCAGUGACGUAGCUAACGCAUUAAGUACUCCGCCUGGGAAGUACGGUCGCAAGACUAAAACUCAAAGGAAUUGACGGGGGCCCGCACAAGCGGUGGAUUAUGUGGUUUAAUUCGAAGCAACGCGCAGAACCUUACCAAGGCUUGAAAUCCUAGGAAUCCGACGUAAUUGUUGGAGUGCCCGCAAGGGAAUCUAGUGACAGGUGCUGCAUGGCUGUCGUCAGCUCGUGUUGUGAAAUGUUGGGUUAAGUCUCGCAACGAGCGCAACCCCUAUCUUUAGUUGCCAGCAUUAAGUUGGGCACUCUAGAGAGACUGCCCGGGUUAACCGGGAGGAAGGUGGGGAUGACGUCAAGUCCUCAUGGCCCUUAUGCCUUGGGCUACACACGUAAUACAAUGGUGCAUACAGAGGGAAGCGACCCGGUGACGGUGAGCAAAUCUCAAAAAGUGCAUCUCAGUCCGGAUUGG